rnacentral:rRNA from 1 species
CCUACGGGAGGCAGCAGUGGGGAAUCUUGCACAAUGGAGGAAACUCUGAUGCAGCGAUGCCGCGUGAGUGAAGAAGGCCUUUGGGUUGUAAAGCUCUUUUGUAGGGGAAGAUAAUGACUGUACCCUAAGAAUAAGGUCCGGCUAACUUCGUGCCAGCAGCCGCGGUAAUACGAAGGGACCUAGCGUAGUUCGGAAUUACUGGGCGUAAAGCGCGCGUAGGCCGUUGAGUUAGUUAAUUGUGAAAUCCCAAAGCUUAACUUUGGAACUGCAAUUAAAACUGCUCGACUAGAGUUUGAUAGAGGAAAGCGGAAUACAUAGUGUAGAGGUGAAAUUCGUAGAUAUUAUGUAGAACACCAGUUGCGAAGGCGGCUUUCUGGAUCAACACUGACGCUGAGGCGCGAAAGUAUGGGUAGCAAAGAGGAUUAGAUACCCUCGUAGUCCAUACCAUAAACGAUGAUUGCUAGAUGUUGGAAAUUUAUUUUACAGUAUCGCAGCUAACGCAUUAAGCAAUCCGCCUGGGGAGUACGACCGCAAGGUUAAAACNCAAAGNGUAAUGACGCGAGAGACNGACCGAGCACGACGAGGAG